GCCCGGGUGGCGGAAUUGGUAGACGCUACGGACUUAAAAUCCGUUUCGCGAAAGCGAGUGCGGGUUCGAUUCCCGCCCCGGGCACCA
rnacentral:tRNA from 1 species